ACCGGCAGCUCAAGUGGUGGCCAUUUUUAUUGGGCCUAAAGCGUUCGUAGCCGGUUUGAUAAGUCUCUGGUGAAAUCCCGCAGCUUAACUGUGGGACUUGCUGGAGAUACUAUUAGACUUGAGGUCGGGAGAGGUUAGGGGUACUCCCAGGGUAGGAGUUGCAUCCUGUAAUCCUGGAAGGAGCAUCGGUGGCGAAGGAAGGCACCUGGUACGCGGAUGACGGUGAGUAACGCGACCCACGUGCGCUUACAG
rnacentral:rRNA from 1 species